rnacentral:rRNA from 1 species
GCAUAACGCGAAGAACCUUACCUGGUCUUGACAUACCGGGCAAGGCCCUAGAGAUAGGGAGAUAUACGCACGGAGACAGGUGGUGCAUGGUUGUCGUCAGCUCGUGUCGUGAGAUGUUGGGUUAAGUCCCGCAACGAGCGCAACCCCUAUUGUUAGUUGCUACGCAAGAGCACUCUAGCGAGACUGCCGUUGACAAAACGGAGGAAGGUGGGGACGACGUCAAAUCAUCAUGCCCCUUAUGUUCUGGGCCACACACGUAAUACAAUGGCGGUCAACAGAGGGAUGCUAAGCCGUGAGGUGGAGCGAAUCCCUAAAAGCCGUCUCAGUUCGGAUUGCAGGCUGCAACUCGCCUGCAUGAAGUCGGAAUCGCUAGUAAUCGCGGAUCAGCAUGCCGCGGUGAAUACGUUCCCCGGGUCUUGUACAC